UACGUAGGGGGCAAGCGUUGUCCGGAAUCAUUGGGCGUAAAGAGCGUGUAGGCGGCCCGGUAAGUCCGCUGUGAAAGUCCAGGGCUCAACCCUGGAAAGCCGGUGGAUACUGUCGGGCUCGAGUCCGGAAGAGGCGAGUGGAAUUCCUGGUGUAGCGGUGGAAUGCGCAGAUAUCAGGAGGAACACCCGUAGCGAAGGCGGCACUCUGGGCCGAUACUGACACUGAGGAGCGAAAGCGUGGGGAGCGAACAGG
rnacentral:rRNA from 1 species